GGGGUUGUGGGGUCAUCCCUGGGGUCACCAGUAGUGUGGCAGCUGUGGCUAGGGAGCCGUGAUGCCGCACAUUCACUAAUGUGUCUCAUCCCUUAUGGGAUGAGGGGAUGGUAACCUGGCACUACCCCAAACCAUGGUGGGGUGAUUGUGUCAGUGUGUGUGUUUGUUUGUGUUUGUGUGUGUGGGGUAAAGGGGCACCGAGCUUCACCAGCAGCCAAAUCGGUGCCCUAUCCUACCUCAGCUGCACUGAGGAGGGGGGAGAUGCAAGGGCUACGGCCAUGGGGGGAGGCUGAUGCUUCUCAACAAGUCCCCAACAACCUUCAGGUCACCUUGCCAAAAUAAAUGCUAAAUGUCAGCAGUGUAGCUUAAGCCAGCACCGGGCUAGAGGCAACUCCAAUCAGGGAGGCUUUGAUCUGAUAUUGAAACGCUGGAGGAGAGCUUGUUUGGAAUUAUGAUAUUUUAGAAUGACUUUGCAUCCUGUUUGAGUCCGGAUUAGUCUUAAGUAAGGGCCACCUGCUGUGUUUUUUCAUAGGCUAAAUGCAUGUAAUCAAAAUGCAAAACUGAAGCCCUUUCCCUUUAAGAUAUCAAAUUCUCCAUCACUCUUUUCCCUCUAUGGUCAAAUGACACCCAAUAGCCUUUCAAAGUCAUCAAGCCACACCUCCGUACCUUUCUCAUCUUCCCCCUCCCUUCCUACUUUCCUCACUGUCAGACAUGCGAGGUGAUGACCUGCACUUCACUUGUCUUUCUGGAAGAAGUGCAAACUUCUGCUGGCACAAAUAUGAAAUACAGCACACACACACACACACACACACACACACACACACACACACACACACACACACCCUUCCACCCCCACCAGACUCCCGGACCCCAUCUGCACUCUCCUCUCUCCAGCCCCCUAAUUGCAUAUGCACAAAUGCAAAUGCCUAUUAAUUAAUUACUUGACUAAUUAGUGCAGUGGUAUUUUAGAGCGAUAAAUCAAGUGGAGAUGGGGCCGAGGACGGCAGGGCAGGAGGAGGGCUGCGCGAAGCAUCGACAAUGAACCCACACCAGAGGGAGUGCUCCUAUUGUACAAGUCCUAUGUGUGACUGGGAGUGUGCUGGGAAGAGGAUGUGCACACUGGAGCUUCUGAAGUGAAGCUCUGUUUAAAAAUGCUGAAGAGCCGAAGAGAUGACUGAGCGAGACAGUGUGGUCGUAAUUGCAGCAUCAGAAAGCUCCACCUCUCCUUCUCGUCUGGCUUGGCUGCAGUGGAGACAAACCUCAACUGGGAGCAAGAUGCCUGUGGUGCGUGUGAAGCUCUGGAGUUUUUCAUCAGUUCCCGUGCCAACCCAACCCGUGCCUGGCCAAGCUGAACCAUCUUGUGGGAUUUUUGGCUUUUAAUUAUAGGAUUAUCCAUUCGCUGUGUUGUCCCAACACAUUCCAGAUGGCUAUUGGUUCCCUGGAAUCUGACGUUGCAAUGACAAAAUGAUGAGGAGGUAAUCCCCUUUUUGUCCCACAGUUUUUCUGUCAUAGUGCUCAGUGCACCAUUUUGGGCCAGGUCUUCCUCAGAGGGGACCUAGUAGUUGAAAAAAGCCUCCUUCAAUAAGAAAACCUCAAGUCAAAAAGUAAACUUAGUCAAAAAGUAUGUAAAACUUUCUAGCACUGAGUCACAAAAUUCUUCAUUGGCCAAAAAUACAUGCAAAAAAGAAUCAAUCAAAUGAAAAAUUCAUUUGUACAUCUAAAAUAAAAAAUAAAAAAUCAGGAAGAUCGAUAAAAUGCCUUUGAGACAAAAUAUGACAAGUUUUAGGAACUCACAAAAUUUCUGUAGCUGUGUCUGACCUCUGACCUCUGGAUAAGGCAAAGAGAACAAAAUAGUCAAUAAAAUGUCAUGAUCAUUUACAUGCCAUUCUAAAUCGUAAUUACACCAACAGGACAGCAGAUGGUGCACGUGCAUCCUUCAUCACCAACACAGUGCAACACAACUGUAGCUGGUACUGAAACUGCCAGGGAGUGCAGCUUCUACUAUGACUGUGACUAUGAAUGCGAGCAGUACUUGUUUAUUGUGUGAUGGUAUGUUAUGUAACCGGAUGAGGGGGAUGAGUGAGGAGUCAAGUUAGGUGUUGACUGACAGGCAGUGCCUCUCUGUGCUUC